rnacentral:rRNA from 1 species
AACGAACGCUGGCGGCAUGCCUAACACAUGCAAGUCGAGCGAAACCUUCGGCCCUAGUGGCGCACGGGUGCGUAACGCGUGGGAACCUGCCCUUAGGUUCGGAAUAACAGCUCGAAAGGGCUGCUAAUACCGGAUGAUGUCGUCGGUCCAAAGAUUUAUCGCCUGUGGAUGAGCCCGCGUUGGAUUAGGUAGUUGGUGGGGUAAAGGCCUACCAAGCCGACGAUCCAUAGCUGGUCUGAGAGGAUGAUCAGCCACACUGGGACUGAGACACGGCCCAGACUCCUACGGGAGGCAGCAGUGGGGAAUAUUGGACAAUGGGCGCAAGCCUGAUCCAGCAAUGCCGCGUGAGUGAUGAAGGCCCUAGGGUUGUAAAGCUCUUUUACCCGGGAAGAUAAUGACAGUACCGGGAGAAUAAGCCCCGGCUAACUCCGUG